rnacentral:rRNA from 1 species
GACGAACGCUGGCGGCGUGCUUAACACAUGCAAGUCGAACGGAGAGGCCCUGCGUUUGUGUGGUGCUCGAGUGGGGAGCGGGUGAGUAACACGUGAGUAACCUGCCCUCGACUUUGGUAUAACUUCAGGCAACUGGGGCUAAUACCGGAUAGGUGCUCCUGCUGCGUGGUGGGGGUUGGAUAGUUUCGGUGGUUGGGGAUGGACUCGCGGCUGAUGAGCUUGUUGGUGGGGUAGUGGCUUACCAAGGGUUUGACGGGUAGCCGGCCUGAGAGGGGGACCGGCCACAUUGGGACUGAGAUACGGCCCAGAGUCCUACGGGAGGCAGCAGUGGGGAAUAUUGCACAAUGGGCGGAAGCCUGAUGCAGCAACGCCGCGUGCGGGAUGACGGCCUUCGGGUUGUAAACCGCUUUCGCCUGUGACGAAGCGUGAGUGACGGUAAUGGGUAAAGAAGCACCGGCUAACUACGUG